CAGGUGUGUGUGUCUCUCUCUGUGUUGGCAAAAGAACAAUAGGCAAACGCUGAAGUGGCGGGCAAAAGAGAGACGAGGAGAGCAAGAGCAAGAGAAGAGAAGACAAAAUGUGGAGACUCAGCAGAUGGUCGAGUGGUGGUUCAGUUACUGCUGCUGCUGUUUCUGUGCCCCAGCCAAGCUGCUGCUGGCUGCUAAUGCUGCUAAUUAUUGGCCAGACUGUUUAUGCUGCCGCCAGCAUCAUCGAACCCAGCCGCCUGGAACGGACAGCAGCUCAACCACAGACAAUAGCACCAAGCAGCGAGCAUCGAGUGCAGCAGCAGCAGCAGCAGCGGCAACAUCAACAGGAGUUCGGCAAUGCCAGCAGCACCACUUCCGACUAUCGAACAGCAUUUGCUGCUGCCGCAUCGACAACGACAACAACAGCAACAACAUCGACCGCAAUCCUCAGCAGCAGCGGGGAGCAGCAUGCUUUAACGCUCGCUCGACCACCGCGCGGGGGACGCUACAAGCGUCAGGAGGAGGAGGAAGAGGUUGAUCGCUGUCGACUCUUUGUGGAGGGCUCUCCGAACAAGAAUGAACUCUACAGUCCCGAGUAUCCCAAUCUCUAUCCCAAGAACAUCAAUUGCACGAGAGUCAUCACAGCGCCAAAGGGUCAAAUCAUACGCCUGGACUUUCGCAACUCGUUUAACAUCGAGGCCAAGGAAGAGUGCAAAUUUGAUUUUCUUGAAAUACGCGAUGGACAAUAUGGCUUCUCGCAGCUGAUUGGUAAAUUCUGCGGCACAGAUUUCCCACCGGAAAUCACCUCGAAGGAACGGUAUCUGUGGCUGCAUUUCCAUUCGGACGAUACCAUUGAAUACACGGGCUUCAGUGCCGUUUACGAGUUUCUGGAUCGCAAUCGAGAGUCGCCCAGCACGGACCUAAACUGCACAAUCGAAAAGGAUGGUUUUGAGGGCUUCAUCAACUCAACCGAUGUCCCAGCUGACAUAAGGGAGCAGGUGAUACGCGAUAAGAUUCCCCUCGAUUGCAUUUGGCGCAUACAAGUCAAGGAAAAUUGGAAAAUUUUUUUGAAAUUCCUGACCUUUCAGCUAAGCAAACCGAAUGACUGUGAGACGAACUUUCUGGAUAUAUUCCCAGAGCAAACAGUGAUGCCAUUAAGAGUGAAAAACUUUUGUGGCUCGGCGGGCGAAAGUAUUACAACAGAGUCCAAUAUUCUGCACAUGCGAUUUUACGCCGAACAAAGUGCGAUUACCUCAUCGUUCGGCAUUCUAUACACAGCGUUUCGGGACCGCGGCUCAGGCAGUUGCGCCAGUGAUGAGUACGAUUGCGAGGAUGCGACCUGCAUAUCACAGGAACUAAUGUGUAAUGAGCGGGACAACUGCAAAUUUCGCUGGGACGAGGAGAAGUGCAAUACUGAAACGAAUGGACAGUCGGAGCACGUGGUCAUCAUUAUCAUUGUGUUUGGCCUGAUACUCGGCGGCAUGGUAAUCACAUUCAUUGUGAACUGCAUUCGAAAGAUAAUACGUGAUCAGAAGAUAAUACGCGAGCACAUACGUGAGUCCAAGGAGAGCAAACUGGACGAGAUGGGACGCAACUCCAAGGCACGUUCGCGUGAGAACAUAUCAAGACAAAAGCAUUCGCAGACCUCGUUACAAAUUCUUGAUGAUGUGUCGAAUCGUUAUUAUCGCGAGGCUGUUCCCAUAUCGACGCAGUCGAGCAAGGCGGACUUCAAGGAGAAGGAGCACAGUAUUCUGCGUCGCCAUCCCGACAUGACCCAAACGACGCUGUGCGGUGGCGUUGGCGGUGGCGGUGGCGGUGGUGAUGAUGGUGAAUCCUCGUCAACGACGACGGCAACGCACGAGAUGAUGACAAAGGCGGCGAUUGCGACCGCGCCGGUUAAUGCCUGUGAUAUGGGCUGUCAAACAAGGGAAUCGCUGUUUGCCAACAGUCCCAGCGCCGUUGCCACGCUAAUGAGACAAAAGUCCAGCUCAUCUUCGUUGGGCGGCGGCAGCGGAAUGGGCGUGGCUGUGAUGCCACCGCCACCGCCACGCUUCUUCAGCACAUUUGGCUAUGAUCAGGGCCUGGCUCCGAGCAUGGGAGGAGGUGGAGGAGGAGCUGGUGCUGGUGCUGGGAUGGGCAUGGGCAUGAUUGCGAUAUCGCCAACGCUGCCAGCUACAACGCCGCCGCCGCCAUCGUCGGCAUCUGCGCAGCUGCUCAACACGCUGACGCGUCGCAGCCAAAUGCACAACAUGCAACAUGCGCCGUCGCAACACGAAUCCCUCGAGCUCGAGGAGCGGCACAGCGGUGUUGGCGGUGCAGGCGGCGGUGGCGGUGGAGGUGGUCAUCGCUCGCAUUAUGGUCUAAUAGUGGCAUCCGCCGUUAAGCCGCAGGAGAUGUGCCAUCAUCAUCAUCAGCACCAGCAGCAGCAGCAGCAGCAACAACAGCAGCAACGAACGCCACAUCAUGCACAUCCUGCGCAUCAGCAUCAACAGCAGCAGCAGCAGCAGCAGCAAGCGCCGACGGUGGCAACGCGAUUGCCGCACAUGAUGCACGCCCAGAAAGCACCAAGCCAAACGAUGCUGCCCUUGGGCAAGGCGGGAGCAGGCGGAGGCGGAGGCGGAGGUGGAGGCAACACUGCUGGACCGCAUGCUGGCGGUGGUGGUGGAAAGCAGCUGAAGAACGAGGAAUCCAAAGUGUUCAUCGACAUACGGAAUUCAGCGCCAGACGUGAUUAUCAUGACGUCCCAUUGACAUUUAAGGAUUGCCCGCCAAUCAACAGCAGCACUAGCAUCAGCAGCAGCAGCAGCAACGGCAGCAGCAAUAGUAACAACAACAAAAACAACAUUGACCAACAACAGCAACAACGAUGACGACGACGACGACGACAGCAUCACAAUGGUUGGCAUAUUAACCACAGCCACAACGGCGCCGCUGACACGACACGGACAUUCACGCAGACAGGCGCACGAGCCAGGACACGAACAAGAACACAGACACAGACAUGGACAUGGACAUGGACAGGGACAGGGACAUGAAGACGGCGUGGCGCAAUCAGGCAAACGAAUACGAAUAGCAAAACGCCAGCUUUCCGGCCGGAACAAAGUGUUGCAGUCGCAGUCGCAGUCGGAACAGAUGCAUUUUUUCCUUUUUUAUGCGUUUUGUUUUGCACGUUUUUAUGCGGCGACUUUAAGGCCAGACCAUGAUUUUCAACUGGGAAAAGCUGCACAAGCGAUAAUUAAAUUUAAUUGAUUACGCUUUUUACACCUUGUUGCUGGCUCUCACUCACACACUCUCUUUCUCUCUCUUACUUAUUAUUAUUGCCAUCAUUAUUAUUAUUAUUAUUAUUGUUACUAUGAUUGUUAUUAUUGCUGCGAUUCGCACAUGCUUUAUACUAGCCAUUAAUUGUAGUACGAGUUGAUUUUCGUUCCCAGUCUUUUAUUUCAUUACUUUUUUUGUUUUUUGUUUUUUGUGUUUGAUAUUAAGGGUUACCUGGGUUGAGCAAUUGUGCAUUCAAGUGCACCGAAAAUUGACAGGCAAUAUUCAAUAUACAUAUUAUGUAUACCCUGUAACCUAGUUGAGAGGAUGUGAUCAAUUUGUAUCCCGCAUUUUAAAGAACUUCCUUUGUGCCAACUGUCGGUUUAAAUCGAUUCCUUUGUUUUUUUUUAAUUUCAAAUUGAAUUUGAAAAUUUGUAAUUACUAGUUACAGGGUAUCUGGCAACUCUGACUCACACUUAGUUUCAGUUUAAACAUUUAAAUUUGAAUUUUCAACCAUUUUUUGACGACAACAAAUAAUUGUACAUACAUAAUAAAGUCGAUAACUUUGACAGUCAUACUGCGAGCUAUCGAUAAGCUUUUUAUACUUCGAUAUACAUAUACACACACACACAAAUGUGCAUACAUACAUAUGUAUGUAUGUGUCUAUACAUAAACUAUCAUACUUGUUAAAGUACAGAAUCAGAUGAAGUGUGUUUUUCUUUUUCUUUUAUGUUUGUUAACAAAACUGUUUUUUGUAAUAUUCAUAGCUAAAUGUAAUUUCAAUAAAGUUCAACUUAAACUGAAAUGAAAGCUAAGCUUCGGCUCUAGAAUUAAUCUAUACUAUGUUAUUUAUGUUACUCUUCUCCCUUGCCCCUCUAUAGUUUUUUAAAACUUGACUAUUAGUGAAAUUGUGUAAAUACAUCUAAAUGAAAAUACAAAAACAAAAAAAAAAACAAUCGAAAAAAAGAACGAAAAACUAACCAAGACGGUAAACGAACUGUCAGAGAUUUAGCGAUUUUACUACAAUAAUUGAAUCGAUUACAAGUAUCGUACUCGUAAUUGUCUACUAGAUAAGUCUAAUGAUAAAAACUAUACAGUUUUUUUGUAAAGAGAAUUUUUUGUAAACGAGCAAAACAUACUUCAAGUAUAAAAGAAACAAAAACAAAAUACUGAUUAAAGAAAACAAACUAAAAAUAAAAAAAUGCAAAAAAAAAGGAGAAAAUAAAAAAAAAACAAUUUUUAUUAAAUGUUAUAUUCUUAAAUACACAUUAUACAUAUAUAUGUACAUAUAUACUCGUAAAUAUAUAUGUAUUACCUUUUUUUUUUGAAUAGCAUUAACACGCAUAAAUCUAACGACUGCAAGUAUUGUAUGUACUGUACUGUAAAUUGCCCCGAUAAAAAUUCUGAAUGGCGCAUAUUAUGCAUACAUAAAAUUUAAAUAAAAUGUGAAGAGAGAACAAAAAUUUAAUAACAAAUGCAUUGUUUAAAACGUGAAAUGUAAUUUUUAAGCAAAAUUGUGUGUGUGGCAAAAAUGUAUAAAAAAGAAAAUACAAGUCGAAUGCGACUUAAUAAAUUUCAUUGUGCAAAAUGAG